rnacentral:rRNA from 1 species
UUAUUAAGCCAUACAGGCUGGUCAAAGCCUGCUCUCGUCAGAUCUCAGAAGCUAAGCAGGGCUUGGCCUGGUUAAUACA